CCUACGGGUGGCAGCAGUGAGGAAUAUUGGUCAAUGGACGAGAGUCUGAACCAGCCAAGUAGCGUGAAGGAUGACUGCCCUAUGGGUUGUAAACUUCUUUUAUAUGGGAAUAAAAUGUUCCACGUGUGGGAUUUUGUAUGUACCAUAUGAAUAAGGAUCGGCUAACUCCGUGCCAGCAGCCGCGGUAAUACGGAGGAUCCGAGCGUUAUCCGGAUUUAUUGGGUUUAAAGGGAGCGUAGGUGGAUUGUUAAGUCAGUUGUGAAAGUUUGCCGCUCAACCGUAAAAUUGCAGUUGAAACUGGCAGUCUUGAGUACAGUAGAGGUGGGCGGAAUUCGUGGUGUAGUGGUGAAAUGCUUAGAUAUCACGAAGAACUCCGAUUGCGAAGGCAGUUCACUGGACUGCAACUGACACUGAGGCUCGAAAGUGUGGGUAUCAAACAGGAUUAGAUACCCUAGUAGUC
rnacentral:rRNA from 1 species